rnacentral:lncRNA from 1 species
GAUUAGGUGGACCAGGGUCGACGCGAUGCGCUCGAGCGCCGCCACGGGUGCAGUGAGCGGGGAGAGGUACGGCCGCGGAGGCGGGUGGGUUGAGAUCGGCAGCGGUGGCGGUUGAGGUUGGCUGCGGCGGCGAGUGGUGUGGCGGCGGCCUGGGCACAGGCCAGGGUGGCCCAGGGUCGACGGGAGGAGGCGAUGCGUACGGGUAUAAUUUUUGCAGCGAAUCAUUUUUUUUUGCGUUGCAGAUAAAUGAUGAAGCGCGGGUUGAAUAACAAAAAUUACAGGGUUUUUUUCUUCUAAAAAUGCCGUGGUGGGUUUUCCGACGGAAGCAAUAACCGCUUUAUUAUUAGGUAUAGAUAUAGAGGUAUAGAUUACAGUUUAACUUGGGUUGGGACAGCCUAUGACCGUAUUACCCCUUUAAUGAUAGUAAGAUAUUUAAAAUAAAAAAUAAGGAGGCAUAAAAGCAAUUAGACAACCAGUGAGAUGGUAAUUUGAUCCCAUCUUAUUAUGUUAGUUUUUAUUACAUGUCAUUUUAUUAUUAUUUAUAUUGCUUAUCGUAUCGUCGUAUUACUGUUUUUAAAAAUUACCAUAUUAUGUAUUAUCGUAUCGUAUUGCAAUAUUAGUGUCGCAGUAUCCAUGCUUCGUAGUCGAUUUCCCGGCCAGCAGCAGCAAGCAGCAGGCGACAGACAGACACAGAGCUCAAAGGGACACAAAGAAACAGAUCUCUCGGUCACGCAAGCGAAAACACCUUUUGUGAGACGCCACGCCGUUGUCUGUCUACCUCUCAUACGACACAGUGAGUAGGCUGGUCCGACUGACAGGUUAAAAUUUGACGGAAAGUUUGGAUCCACACUUGGCUUUUAAAACGUUUUUCAAAGGCCCUGUUUGGAUACUCUAACUCGGUUAGAGGUUAGAGUUAGAUUCUAACCCUGAACUAACCCUAAACUAACUCUAACCAAAGAGGUGUUUGGAUGGAAGGGUUAGAUUGUCAAUAAAUGAACCUUUUCCAAUCAUUUGGCUCCUUUAUCAAGGAUUUGGUGUGGUGGAGGUAGAGAGAAAAGUAACUUUUUGUGGGACCAACCCAACUCUAACCAAAAUAAACACCUCUUGGGUGGGUUAAUUUUUAUGGAUGGCAUAGAUGCAUCUAACCAACUCUAACCCUCCCUGUUUGGAUGUUUUGGGGUUAGAUUGGUCCAAUCUAACCAACUCUAACUCUAACUCAUGAAUCCAAACAAUGCCAAACGAAUACACGAAUAGGUAGUGUUGUAC